CGCAUCUGUGCAUGCAGCAUAUCAAUAAGCGGAGGAAAAGAAACUAACAAGGAUUCCCCUAGUAACGGCGAGUGAAGCGGGAAGAGCUCAAAUUUGAAAUCUUAAAGGGUUUCCCUUUACGAAUUGUAGUUUAAAGAAGUGUUUUCUGUUGAGGUUUUGGUAAAAGUUCUUUGGAAUAGGACAUCAUAGAGGGUGAGAAUCCCGUAUUUGACCUUUACUUUCAACUUUGUGAUACACUUUCAAAGAGUCGGAUUGUUUGGGAAUGCAGUCCAAAAUGGGUGGUAAAUUUCAUCUAAAGCUAAAUAUUGGCGAGAGACCGAUAGCGAACAAGUACCGUGAGGGAAAGAUGAAAAGAACUUUGAAAAGAGAGGUUAAACAGUACGUGAAAUUGUCAAAAGGGAAGCGUUUGACACCAGUGUUGUUUUUCUGAAAAUCAAUUAAAGAACUGUUUAUGCUAAGCUGUUUAGACUUUAUCAGCUAUCUGUUUAGUUUUGAGCUUUUCUUUAAUGCACUUUUCAGUUAACAAGUCAACAUCAAUUUCUUUUGCUGUAAAAAAGCUUGAGGAAGGUGGCUUGAGAUUCGUCUUAAGUGUUUAUAGCCUCUUGCCUAUGCAGUCGGAGAGAUUGAGGUCUGCAGCGUAGAUCCUUCGGGGCUAAAUGCAUUUGUGCUAAGUUAUAGCAUUUUAUAGACAACUUGUUGACUAUGAUUUGUCUUGUAGCUUACUCGCUUAUGUUAUUUUACCUACGCUUAGGAUGUUGAAUCUGUGCGAGACUAC
rnacentral:rRNA from 1 species